GCCGUCGUGGUGGAAUUGGUAGACACGCUGUCUUGAGGGGGCAGUGCGGAAACGCGUAAGAGUUCGAGUCUCUUCGACGGCACCA
rnacentral:tRNA from 2 species